UACUUAUCUUACCUGCCGUUUAGUGGGGGAUAAAAUACCGCAUAUUCUGGUUUCGACCAGGAAAGGACUUCGGUUCGCUAAAUGAUGGGGAUAAGUCGUAUUAGUUUGUUGGUGGGGUAAAGGCCUACCAAGACCAAGAUGCGUAGCCAAACUGAGAGGUUGAAUGGCCACAGGGAAACUGAGACACGGUUCCCACUCCUACGGGAGGCAGCAGUGAGGAAUAUUCCGCAAUGGGCGAAAGCCUGACGGAGCGAUGCUACGUGAAGGAUGAAGGUCUACGGAUUGUAAACUUCUUUACUUGGAUGUACUCCUUAAAACUUGCAUCCGAGCAAAAAGUCACGACUAACUAUGUGCCAGCAGUCGCGGUAAGACAUAGGUGGCGAACGUUAUCCGGAAUUAUUGGGCGUAAAGGAUGCGUAGAUGGUAGAAUAAGUUAUUGGUUGAUACCAAACUCAAUUUGGUGGAGGCUGGUAAUACUGUUCGGCUAGAGGGCAGGAGAAGUUGAUGGAAUUCUGUGUGGAGCGGUGAAAUGCGUUGAUCUACAGAGGAACACCAAAAAAGGCGAAGGCAGUCAACUAUUCUGUUCCUGACAUUGAGGCAUGAAAGCGUGGGGAGCAAACCGGAUUAGAUACCCGGGUAGUCCACGCCCUAAACGAUGAGCAUUAGAUAUUGGGCAUUUUGCUUAGUGUCGCAGUUAACGCUUUAAAUGCUCCGCCUGAGUACUACGGUCGCAAGGCUAAAACUCAAAGGAAUUGACGGGACCCGCACAAGCGGUGGAGCAUGUGGUUUAAUUCGAUACGACGCGCAGAACCUUACCAAGGUUUGACAUGGAGGGCAAAGUUGAAGAAACUCAACGGAGGUUAUCCCGACACAGGUGGUGCAUGGUCGUCGUCAGUUCGUGCUGUGAAGCGUACGCUUAAGUGCUAGAACGAACGCAACCCUCAUAUUUAGUUGCUAUCAUUUAGUUGAGAACUCUAAAUAGACUGCUAAGAUAACUUAGAGGAAGGAGAGGAUCACGUCUGAUCGUC
rnacentral:rRNA from 1 species